ensembl:lincRNA Gm29359 predicted gene 29359
GAAAGGUCUCUCUCUCAGAUAACAACAAUUCAAUGUGCCUUGACAUUUUAAUAGCCUGCCGUCCUGGUGAACACAAUCGAGCAAGGCAGUGAAGCAAAAAUCAUUAGGUGGCUGGAUUCAGACACAUCACACAUCGGCAUGGGUUCCAAGGUGCUUCUCUCUGGAUUUUCACCUGCCUUGCCAAAAAUGAUUGAUUACGCUAGGCCAACUGGGUGUCCGGCAAUACCCAACAAAUGACUUUGGCCCCUAACAGCAGGCCUUGGCCAGAUAGAAAUCAAUAUUUCACCAUUAAAAUCUAUCAAAGAAGAGUUAAGGCACCAUCUGUCCCUGCCGCCUCUCUAUGGUGUGUGAACAUUAAAUCCGACACUUGUACCACACGGGUAAUCAAUAUAUAGUGGUUCACAGAUCAUUUGUGGUCCCCCUUUAGCAGUGAUGGAUGUCUGGAAUCGUUGUGAUUCAUUUUGUCAGACCAUUAAACAAGAUUCUGUCCAGUUC